UGGAAAGAGCCUCUAACUAUUCAGCCUUGGAUCCUAAGGAGUGGAAAAAGUUGUGGAAUGCCAAGUUGCAUGAGUGACACAAAUGUUAUGGUGGUGUGUUAUCGCUGAAGCUCUUCCAGUCAGAGCCCGUGAGAAGCCUCUGGUUUGCUUCGCAUUGGAGUUUUGUGCCCACAACGUCAACACACACUUGCAAGGACUUAUUGCUUUUUAUAUGGGGGACGAAAAGGUGUGCGAAUGAAAUUAGACUCAGCUUUGAGGAAUACAAAGAGGUCCCGCUGCCAGACCCACCCAGACCCGUCUGUGGACCACAACCUUACUGCAG